rnacentral:rRNA from 1 species
GACGAACGCUGGCGGCGUGCCUAAUACAUGCAAGUCGAACGCAGGGGGGACGGGUGAGGAACACGUGGGUAACCUCCCAUCAGAGGGGAUAACACGUGGAAACAGGUGCUAAACCGAUACUGAUGGAUGAACCCGCGGUGCAUUAGCUAGUUGGUGAGGUAACGGCUCACCAAGGCCACGAUGCAUAGCCGGCCUGAGAGGGUGACCGGCCACACUGGAACUGCGACACGGCCCAGACUCCUACGGGAGGCAGCAGUAGGGAAUCUUCCGCAAUGGGCGCAAGUCUGACACAGCCACGCCGCGUGUAUGAAGAAGGUUUUCGGAUCGUAAAACACUGUUGUUGGAGAGGCGGUACCUGCCCAGGAAGCCCCGGCUAACUCCGUGCCAGCAGCCGCGGUAAUUC